rnacentral:rRNA from 1 species
AGCAUGCCGCGGUGAAUACGUUCCCGGGUCUUGUACACACCGCCCGUCACACCAUGGGAGCUGGUAACACCCGAAGUCAGUAGUCUAACCGCAAGGAGGACGCUGCCGAAGGUGGGAUUAGCGACUGGGGUGAAGUCGUAACAAGGUAAC